rnacentral:rRNA from 1 species
CGGUAAUUCCAGCUCCAAUAGCGUAUACUAAAGUUGUUGCAGUUAAAAAGCUCGUAGUUGGAUUUCUGCGGGGACGGAGCGGCCGGACGCAACUUGCGUCUCGAGCUAGCGCUUUCCCCGCAUCCUGCCGCGAACCGUGCUACCAUUAGUUUGGUGGCGCUGGGGAUCGGCUCGAUUACUUUGAGAAAAAUAGAGUGUUCAAAGCAGGCCACACGCCUUGAAUAAGUUAGCAUGGAAUAAUGACUAAGGACUUCGGUUCUAUUUUGUUGGUGUUCGGGACUGAAGUAAUGAUUGAUAGGGACAGUUGGGGCGGUCUGUAUUCCAAAGCGAGAGGUGAAAUUCUUAGACCUUCGGAAGACAAACAGCUGCGAAAGCGUUCCGCAAGGAUGUUCCCUUUGAUCAAGAACGAAAGUUGGGGGAUCGAAGACGAUCAGAUACCGUCGUAGUCUCAACUAUAAACUAUACCAGCUAGGGAUCGGUCAACGUUUAAUUAUUCGACUUGAUCGGCACCUUAUGAGAAAUCAAAGCAUCUGGGUUCCGGGGGGAGUAUGGUCGCAAGGCUGAAACUUAAAGGAAUUGACGGAAGGGCACCACCAGCCGUGGAGCCUGUGGCUUAAUUUGACUCAACACGGGAAAACUUACCAGGUCCAGACAUAGUAAGGAUUGACAGAUUGAUAGCUCUUUCUUGAUUCUGUGGGUGGUGGUGCAUGGCCGUUCUUAGUUGGUGGAGUGAUUUGUCUGGUUAAUUCCGUUAACGAACGAGACCCCAGCCUGCUAAAUAGCGCGGCUGAGCUUUGCUCGGUGCGAGCUUCUUAGAGGGACUAUGAUGCGCGAUAGCACAUGGAAGUUUGGGGCAAUAACAGGUCUGUGAUGCCCUUAGAUGUUCUGGGCCGCACACGGGCUACACUGGCGCCUGCAACGAGCAUAUCAGCUGGCCCGAGAGGGUCUUGGCUAAUCUCUUGAACCGGCGCCGUGCUUGGGAUUGACCUUUGCAAUUGUUGGUCAUGCAACGAGGAAUGCCUUGUAAACGCGAGUCAUCAGCUCGCAUUGAAUACGUCCCUGCCCUUUGUACACACCGCCCGUCGCUCCUACCGAUGAAUGUUCCGAUGAAAUUUUCGGAGAGCGGCAGAGAACGGGGCUCUGUCUUGCAGAUCUGGAGGCUCAAAGUCACUUAAAUCUGAACAUUUCGAGGAAGGAGAAGUCGUAACAAGGUAGCCG